rnacentral:rRNA from 1 species
GACGAACGCUGGCGGCGUGCCUAAUACAUGCAAGUCGAACGCUUCUUUCCUCCCGAGUGCUUGCACUCAAUUGGAAAGAGGAGUGGCGGACGGGUGAGUAACACGUGGGUAACCUACCCAUCAGAGGGGGAUAACACUUGGAAACAGGUGCUAAUACCGCAUAACAGUUUAUGCCGCAUGGCAUAAGAGUGAAAGGCGCUUUCGGGGGUCGCUGAUGGAUGGACCCGCGGGGCAUUAGCUAGUUGGUGAGGUAACGGCUCACCAAGGCCACGAUGCAUAGCCGACCUGAGAGGGUGAUCGGCCACACUGGGACUGAGACACGGCCCAGACUCCUACGGGAGGCAGCAGUAGGGAAUCUUCGGCAAUGGACGAAAGUCUGACCGAGCAACGCCGCGUGAGUGAAGAAGGUUUUCGGAUCGUAAAACUCUGUUGUUAGAGAAGAACAAGGACGUUAGUAACUGAACGUCCCCUGACGGUAUCUAACCAGAAAGCCACGGCUAACUACGUG